rnacentral:misc_RNA from 1 species
AAUCAUCAACCCUCCAAACUUUGGUGAGGAUGGGCUUGGUCUUGAGGGUUUUGUGGGCGCUCCGCCGUCCGCUCCCUUUAAAUCUAUUAGCGUGACUUCCCUCUGCUGGCCGUCUCUUGGCGUGAUAGUCAUCUACGUCAUUCUGUGCGGUUCUCGUUGGGCUCGCUUCUAAUCGUCUUCGGACAGUCGACCUGGUCGUGUGCGUGUAUGCGCCUCUUCCACCUCAAAAACC